CACUUUUUUUUUUUAAUCACGAUGACCCGAUCCACCUCCAAAUCCUCCAAUCUAUAUAGUCCCAUUCGCUCCCAUCCGAUUCCCAUCGAAAUCUAGGGUUUAUCCACUCCCGCCGCCUCCGUCGCCGCCGUACCCCUCAGUUCUCCGACAUGGCUCGCAUUCGUCGCCGAUGGCGUGUUUCUGGCGGAGCUGAACGAGAUGCUGACCCGCGAGCUCGGGGAGGACGGCUUCGCCGGCGUCGAGAUCCGGGUCACCCCCAUGCGCACCGAGAUCAUCAUCCGCGCCACCCGCACGCAGAACGUCCUCGGCGAGAAGGGUCGGAGGAUCAGGGAGCUGACGUCGGUGGUGCAGAAGCGCUUCAACUUUCCCGACGGAAGCGUGGAGCUCUACGCCGAGAAGGUCAUGUACCGCGGCCUCUGCGCCGUUGCGCAGGCCGAGUCCCUCCGCUACAAGCUCCUCGGUGGCCUCGCUGUUCGAAGGGCAUGCUAUGGUGUACUCAGGUUUGUCAUGGAAAGCGGUGCGAAGGGUUGUGAGGUCAUUGUGAGUGGGAAGCUUAGGGCACAGCGUGCUAAAUCCAUGAAGUUCAAGGAUGGGUAUAUGAUCUCUUCUGGCCAUCCAGUCAACCAGUAUAUCGAUGGAGCUGUGAGGCAUGUUCUUCUCAGACAGUUGGAUGAUAGUGCUCUGGAUGCUGUAAUGAAGAAGCUAAGUCCUAGGAGGAGAACCUGGCUGGAGUUCACAUGCUUCACCGCUGCACUAGACAAGAUGGAGAAGAUCCUAUGGAGCAACCCUAGCCACUUUUCUCCCAAUCCCCGCCCGAGGCUAGCCAAAGACGGCGAUUUUUCUCCUGCCCCUCCUCUCCCGUGCCCCCUCCUCUUCCCCUGCUUUGGCUGCAGCCACCACUCCCUCCUGGCCGAUCUCCCGUCUUCGCCAUGGUCGGGCGGUAGCAGCGCCGGCCUUGGACGCGAGCACCGCGUGCGGGACGAGCUGGGCGCCGGCCUUGGGCGCGAGCGGGACAAACGAUAUGUGGAGGCUGUCGCCCGACCCGCUGAUGGCGAAGAAGAGCAAGGGGCGGGCCGGCACCCCCACGGAGUCGCUGGGGACUGCUGGGAGGAGGAGCACACGAUCUCCUGGCCUACUUCGUCACCGAGGAUGCAGACUAGCAGCCCAGGAACCUGCCCUCUUCCGCCUCUUCUUCAAAGGAGACCAGAAGUGGCAGCGCGUGGUGGUGGUCCUCGGCAACGACGAGAGGGAGACGGGAUGGAUGCUUCAAGAUUCAAUGCGGUUGUAAUGACCCUCCAAUCCAUUUGGCUCCAUUUGGCUUAUAUGUUUGAUGUGUGACCUAAACGUUUGUUAGUUUUGUUUCAUGGAUAAUUAUUUGUUUGGCGUGAAUUACUCCAGAGCAGGGUGUAUACAAUAUUCUUUAGAUUUUGGUUAUAUUAGGCUGGUCUUUUUUGAUGGUAUGGGCAAAGAGAUUAUUUGUAUGUCAUUGUUUUUAUUUAUUUUGGCCAGCAUUUUUGUGAAUAAGUUCUAAUAGGGAGAUUGUAGCUCCUUUUUGUAGAUCUAAAUUCCAGCUCUUUAUUUUAUAGGGCACCUACACAUUUUAGAUUUAUUGUUUGCUGCUUUGUUUACAUGCAAGGUAUGAGAACCAGGAUGCAAAUGCUACAUCGCAACCUGUGUACCAAGCUUGAAGAAAUUUAGAAAUUGAGGGAGCAUAAAAUCCAAGAGCUUUUACAUCAGAAUGUUGCUGUUGAGUUGGCAUGAUAUUCAGCCCAUAGCCAAUGUAUUUGUUGGUGUGUUUGAGGUGGAUGUAUCAAACUGGCCACCAUUUAUGCCAAAUGGUUUCAAAGGUGUUGUAACCGGAUCCACAGUAGUCUUAUUUGCCUAUGUUGGAUUUGAUGCAGUUGCUAAUUCUGCCGAGGAAGUUAAAUGACCACUGGAGGAUCUCAUGAUGUGACUGAAGAAGAUGGGGAUCCUAAAUUGCCGGAGAUGAUGUCUCAAGGAAUGAGCAUUGUUUUGGGUUAUCAGACUGGUGGGUGGAUGGUGAGGAGAACGGUAGAGGUCAUGAACAUUGUUGUCUGAGCACAUCUCAAGGGACUGAAGUUUCUCUACCCCAAUGAUGUUGAGGUGCAGGUGUAUUUUAAAGGGGAAAAAGAGAUGAAGCUGGCCCCGGUUUGUCAUGAAGGAUUUCCCUCCUCUGCCGUUUGACUUCCCGGUGGGCGGCGCCAUUUUGGUCAUCCGAAAGCAGCCACACAUCUAGGUUUCUCUCUCUGCUACUGCUUGAAAACAGCCUCUCUCUCCUACUGCUUGGAAACGGAUGCUUUGAGACUUUCUGGAGUAGUAAAGAGGAGACAGGGGCAAGAGGAGAAGAGGAAAUCCACUGAUGCUUCUUCACACUACCCCUAUAAUGUAGACAAAUAGAACAACUGGUCAGCUGAGUACUUGUACACCUACCAUUCACCUAUUUGAAUUUUCUAAGUCAGUGCAAAGUUUUAAUUAGCUUUCAGGUAAAGCCAUGGUGGAAAGCGGAAACUCACAUGAUUUGUUUGCAGGGUCUUGCGGAAAUGGGAUGAAGAUUUAUGUAUACUAUGUGAAACACUGCUUUUCUGCGAAAAAUAAGCUAUUAGUCAAGCUGAAUGCAAACCGUGUUGUCAUUGGCACACUUCGAGGAUUUGAUCAGUUCAUGAAUUUGGUCGUGGAUAACACUGUGGAGGUCAAUGGAGAUGAAAGGAACGACAUAUGGAUGGUGGUUCUGAGAGGAAAUAGUGUUGUGAUAUUUCCGCAUACCUACUUCUGGUUUAGCAUCUGAGCUGAUGUGUUAAGUCAAAACUGAUGUGUGUGCAAUCGGGCAUAUUGUAUCCUACUAUGUUAAUGUGUGAAAUUUAGCACAUUUGUAUAGUUUUGGACCGUCUUCUGAUACUUGAUCAAAGUUAAUAUCGCUGAGGCUCCAUGUUAUUCUGGUACUAUAUAUGAACUGUCACUAAAGCUUAACGUCAGUGUGCAGUUGUGCGAUCA